UACGGAGGAUGCGAGCGUUAUCCGGAUUCAUUGGGUUUAAAGGGUGCGCAGGUUGUUUGAUAAGUCAGUGGUGAAAGUCUGUCGCUUAACGGUAGGAUUGCCAUUGAUACUGUUGGACUUGAAUAUGGAUGAGGUAGGCGGAAUGUGUAGUGUAGCGGUGAAAUGCAUAGAUAUUACACAGAACACCGAUUGCGAAGGCAGCUUACUAAUCCAUCAUUGACGCUGAGGCACGAAAGCGUGGGGAUCAAACA
rnacentral:rRNA from 1 species